rnacentral:lncRNA from 1 species
GAAUAUGUGAUUUAGUGAUCCUUUUCAAAUCUAUAAAUGGUUCCGGUAUUUGAUUUGCAAUUCUCUGCAGAUGAAUAAUCUUUUGUACUUCUUGCUUAUAAAUAGAAGCACGUGGAUCAAGAUGAGAUAGUGAUGGAUUUUUUCAUAAAAUUUCUCUUUUGAUAACAUUAUCUUCUCCCUUUAAUUUUGGGAAAAGUAUCUCAUCAAACUGAUAAUCU